rnacentral:lncRNA from 1 species
CUCAAGAAUGCCUUUACAUUGAGCUUCAAAUUUGAUCUAAUCAACUCUGAUUCUGUUGGUUUGUGUUAUAAUUGGUUCCUCUACCUAUCAAGCUUCACUAAGUUUGCUCUUAAUGGCAUCAGUUCCUUCAUCAAGAAAUUUUUUUUCUAAAAAGAAUGCCUUAAGAUUCAUGAACAUCUCAUGUCCAUCAAGAAGGUAGAAGAAUUAUCUUUAAUAUAAUAUUUAUCAAACUAAGAUCC